GAUGAAGAACGUAGCGAAAUGCGAUAAGUAAUGUGAAUUGCAGAAUUCAGUGAAUCAUCGAAUCUUUGAACGCGCAUUGCGCCCGCCAGUAUUCUGGCGAGCAUGCCUGUUCGAGCGUCAUUUCAACCAUCAAGCCCCAGGCUUGUGUUGGAGCCCUGCGGCUGCCGCAGCCUCCCAAAACCAGUGGCGGGCUCGCUAUCACACCGAGUGCAGUAGUUUACUCUUCGCUCAGGGCGUGUGGCGGGUGCUAGCCGUGAAACCCCCAACUUCUCAAGGUUGACCUCGGAUCAGGUAGGAAUACCCGCUGAACUUAAGCAUAUCAAUAAGCGGAGGA
rnacentral:misc_RNA from 1 species